CCCUAUAUGUACACAAUCUGAAGACAGAAAUGCUUUAAUUUCCCGCCAGUAGCAUCACAUUAAACUCUCCGGCUAACCAAAUCCAAAACCUUCACUUGCUUCAUGAAUAGCAAGCAGCAAACGUUCUUGAAGUUGUUCCUUGGAGGUAUACUCAGGAAGGUCAAGCUGGUUAAAGCAUGUGUGAGCUGAGGGCAACCGCUCAGGAGCUCCAUACGCUUU
rnacentral:misc_RNA from 1 species